UACGUAGGGUGCGAGCGUUGUCCGGAGUUACUGGGCGUAAAGCGCACGCAGGCGGUCUGCUAAGUUUGGAGUGACAGUUGGUGGCUUAACUGCCAAAGUGCUUCGAAAACUGACAGACUUGAGGGCUUCAGAGGGACACGGAAUUCCGGGUGGAGUGGUGAAAUGCGUAGAGAUCCAGAGGAACACCAAAGGCGAAGGCAGUGUCCUGGGGAGUACCUGACGCUCAGGUGCGAAAGCCAGGGGAGCGAACGGG
rnacentral:rRNA from 1 species